AGACCCGAAACCCGGUGAUCUAGCCAUGGGCAGGUUGAAGGUUGGGUAACACUAACUGGAGGACCGAACCGACUAAUGUUGAAAAAUUAGCGGAUGACCUGUGGCUGGGGGUGAAAGGCCAAUCAAACCGGGAGAUAGCUGGUUCUCCCCGAAAGCUAUUUAGGUAGCGCCUCGUGAAUUCAUCUCCGGGGGUAGAGCACUGUUUCGGCUAGGGGGCCAUCCCGGCUUACCAACCCGAUGCAAACUGCGAAUACCGGAGAAUGUUAUCACGGGAGACACACGGCGGGUGCUAACGUCCGUCGUGAAGAGGGAAACAACCCAGACCGCCAGCUAAGGUCCCAAAGUCAUGGUUAAGUGGGAAACGAUGUGGGAAGGCCCAGACAGCCAGGAUGUUGGCUUAGAAGCAGCCAUCAUUUAAAGAAAGCGUAAUAGCUCACUGGUCGAGUCGGCCUGCGCGGAAGAUGUAACGGGGCUAAACCAUGCACCGAAGCUGCGGCAGCGACACUCAGGUGUUGUUGGGUAGGGGAGCGUUCUGUAAGCCUGUGAAGGUGUGUCGUGAGGCAUGCUGGAGGUAUCAGAAGUGCGAAUGCUGACAUAAGUAACGAUAAAGCGGGUGAAAAGCCCGCUCGCCGGAAGACCAAGGGUUCCUGUCCAACGUUAAUCGGGGCAGGGUGAGUCGACCCCUAAGGCGAGGCCGAAAGGCGUAGUCGAUGGGAAACGGGUUAAUAUUCCCGUACUUGGUGUUACUGCGAAGGGGGGACGGAGAAGGCUAUGUUGGCCGGGCGACGGUUGUCCCGGUUUAAGCGUGUAGGUGUGUGUUCCAGGUAAAUCCGGUUCACUUUAACACUGAGGCGUGAUGACGAGGCACUACGGUGCUGAAGCAACAAAUGCCCUGCUUCCAGGAAAAGCCUCUAAGCAUCAGGUAACAUCAAAUCGUACCCCAAACCGACACAGGUGGUCAGGUAGAGAAUACCAAGGCGCUUGAGAGAACUCGGGUGAAGGAACUAGGCAAAAUGGUGCCGUAACUUCGGGAGAAGGCACGCUGACACGUAGGUGAAGUGAUUUACUCAUGGAGCUGAAGUCAGUCGAAGAUACCAGCUGGCUGCAACUGUUUAUUAAAAACACAGCACUGUGCAAACACGAAAGUGGACGUAUACGGUGUGACGCCUGCCCGGUGCCGGAAGGUUAAUUGAUGGGGUCAGCGCAAGCGAAGCUCCUGAUCGAAGCCCCGGUAAACGGCGGCCGUAACUAUAACGGUCCUAAGGUAGCGAAAUUCCUUGUCGGGUAAGUUCCGACCUGCACGAAUGGCGUAAUGAUGGCCAGGCUGUCUCCACCCGAGACUCAGUGAAAUUGAACUCGCUGUGAAGAUGCAGUGUACCCGCGGCAAGACGGAAAGACCCCGUGAACCUUUACUAUAGCUUGACACUGAACAUUGAGCCUUGAUGUGUAGGAUAGGUGGGAGGCUUUGAAGCGUGGACGCCAGUCUGCGUGGAGCCGACCUUGAAAUACCACCCUUUAAUGUUUGAUGUUCUAACGUGGACCCGUGAUCCGGGUUGCGGACAGUGUCUGGUGGGUAGUUUGACUGGGGCGGUCUCCUCCUAAAGAGUAACGGAGGAGCACGAAGGUUGGCUAAUCCUGGUCGGACAUCAGGAGGUUAGUGCAAUGGCAUAAGCCAGCUUGACUGCGAGCGUGACGGCGCGAGCAGGUGCGAAAGCAGGUCAUAGUGAUCCGGUGGUUCUGAAUGGAAGGGCCAUCGCUCAACGGAUAAAAGGUACUCCGGGGAUAACAGGCUGAUACCGCCCAAGAGUUCAUAUCGACGGCGGUGUUUGGCACCUCGAUGUCGGCUCAUCACAUCCUGGGGCUGAAGUAGGUCCCAAGGGUAUGGCUGUUCGCCAUUUAAAGUGGUACGCGAGCUGGGUUUAGAACGUCGUGAGACAGUUCGGUCCCUAUCUGCCGUGGGCGCUGGAGAACUGAGGGGGGCUGCUCCUAGUACGAGAGGACCGGAGUGGACGCAUCACUGGUGUUCGGGUUGUCAUGCCAAUGGCACUGCCCGGUAGCUAAAUGCGGAAGAGAUAAGUGCUGAAAGCAUCUAAGCACGAAACUUGCCCCGAGAUGAGUUCUCCCUGAGACUUAG
rnacentral:rRNA from 1 species